GCCUUCUCCUUAUAUGCAAAUUGACGUGGAACUAUCAUCUAUUUAGUUACAUGCUUGCAGAAGGUCUUCGUCUGUCUGGUAUUGUGUCAAUAUUGUUCACAUGAAUGGUCAUGAAGCAUUAUACGUAUUCAAAUUUAUCAGAAAACUCUCAAAGAUUUGUUUCUUCCUUUUUCCAUUUGAUAUCAUCACUAGCGGAGACGUUUGUGUAAGUGAGCUUUUCAUUGCCUUUAUCACAUAUCAAGUAUUUAAGCUGUUAUUUACACAUGACACACCACACUUGUUUUGAAAUGAAAACCUUAAUUUUCCGGUUUAUAUACAUGGGCUUUGAUAUUGCCAUGAAACAACAUAGCUGGUCACAUGUGGGGUUCAUUUUUUUCUCAAUUGUAUCCUUUGAAUUAGUAGUCUAAUGUGAAAAGUUCUUAUACUGUAGCAACUGAAACUUCCUCUUUUUCCUUAACUUGGUGUGUGAUUGCCUCAGAUAUUUAUUGUAGUUGCAAG